UACAACUUUUGACAACGGAUCUCUUGGCUCUCGCAUCGAUGAAGAACGUAGCGAAUUGCGAUAAGUAAUGUGAAUUGCAGUUUCAGUGAAUCAUCAAAUCUUUGAACGCAUAUUGCACUCUCUGGUAUUCCGGGGAGUAUGCCUGUUUGAGAACCGUUUUCACCCUCA
rnacentral:rRNA from 1 species